AAAGAAAAGAAAAGAAUGCUUUUGGCCAAAUCUUCCCUGGAGUCACUUACACUAUCUUGCAAAGCCCAGGCAUCGAUGAGACUUAGAAAUGUUCCCAGGGACACGAAACUGAGUUGCUCCAUCUUCAAGCAGAAUGGAGAGUAAAGGGUUGCAAGAGGUGAGACAGUUGAGACCCAGAGAGGUAUGACAGCUUCCUGAAGUCGUCAUGGAAUAUGUAUCACGGAGAUGGGUAUGCAGCUGAGGUAGAGCUUUCUUUGUGAAAGUAACAUCCCAGUCCCUGCCAGGGCAGAUGAAGGGCAAUCAAUGAAGCAGCCUGAGA
rnacentral:lncRNA from 1 species